CUCAACAUACACCAUUUGGUCGAAACACACUGCGACUUCUGUUUAACCGAACAGUAUUGUAAGAUAUUUUGUGGAAACAACAUCAAAGCUAUCAACCAGCUCAACGUUAAUCGCUGAACGCAGCAAAGAUAAAAAUGGAAGACAACGUGCGUGCAACUUAUAUUUGCUGGAAAUGCGACAAUGAAUAUGUCCAAUUCAAUAUUCGAGAAGGCGAGGCAGCCAAAUGUCCACAAUGCAAAACAGUGAAUUAUCCCGGUUACGAGAAAGUCUACGACUAAAUGCACAUGGUACAUGGGACCAAAUCGCAAAUAUGUAGCCGAUUAAAAUUCGAUUCAGAAUUAAAAAUUUAAUUAGUUUUUUCUUUCAAAUUUGUUUGCUGUAAAAAAGGAAUAGAAAAAAAGUUCACCUUGCAAAUAAAUUGAUCGUAAAAAAGUA